AGUAAGCAUGUAGAAUGAGGAAGUAACUGUGCUUUUCUUUCAAGACAUAAUAGCUAAUUAACUAAUUCAAUCAAAACUGGCUAGUUUCAAACUUCUCAGUUCUAUAUGUUGUCCAUGUUGAUUGUUCUGGACUGUAGAGCAAUAGCUAGAUCUGACCAAGACAAAUCAAAACAAUUUUGGUACUUAAGUCUAAUGGACUGAUCUACAGGGAUUUCACCUACUCCCGUAGUGCAUCAGGUUCAUGACAUUAAGAGGAAGUCCGGCUAAAUUCGGGGUGAGGACAAGGCUCAAAUUCAGGUCAUCAGUACCCAAACCACAACGACAUUAAUUACCAACCCAACCUGUUGGCAUUCUCAUCUCUAAUGGUAGAUGGCAACAGGCAUUACUCUGAUACAAGUGAGAAUACUUAACCUUGUUUGAGAAACACCUCAGUUCCAAGAGCUGUUUUGUGUUUUAGUAUGCACAAGGGCUCUGAAAAGAUAGGGAUGGGAUGAUAAGAGAAAUGAAGCAAGGGAAGUUGUCCCUUUCUCUGAGUUUCUGUUUACAAGCCAAGCCUUUGGUUUUCCCCGAGCAAGA
rnacentral:lncRNA from 1 species